GGAUAACUACUGGAAACGGUAGCUAAUACCGCAUAACGUCGCAAGACCAAAGAGGGGGACCUUCGGGCCUCUUGCCAUCGGAUGUGCCCAGAUGGGAUUAGCUAGUAGGUGGGGUAACGGCUCACCUAGGCGGCGAUCCCUAGCUGGUCUGAGAGGAUGACCAGCCACACUGGAACUGAGACACGGUCCAGACUCCUACGGGAGGCAGCAGUGGGGAAUAUUGCACAAUGGGCGCAAGCCUGAUGCAGCCAUGCCGCGUGUAUGAAGAAGGCCUUCGGGUUGUAAAGUACUUUCAGCGAGGAGGAAGGUGUUGUGGUUAAUAACCGCAGCAAUUGACGUUACUCGCAGAAGAAGCACCGGCUAACUCCGUGCCAGCAGUCGCGGUAAUACGGAGGGUGCAAGCGUUAAUCGGAAUUACUGGGCGUAAAGCGCACGCAGGCGGCCUGUCAAGUCGGAUGUGAAAUCCCCGGGCUCAACCUGGGAACUGCAUCCGAAACUGGCAGGCUAGAGUCUUGUAGAGGGGGGUAGAAUUCCAGGUGUAGCGGUGAAAUGCGUAGAGAUCUGGAGGGAUACCGGUGGCGAAGGCGGCCCCCUGGACAAAGACUGACGCUCAGGUGCGAAAGCGUGGGGAGCAAACAGGAUUAGAUACCCUGGUAGUCCACGCCGUAAACGAUGUCGACGUGGAGGUUGUGCCCUUGAGGCGUGGCUUCCGGA
rnacentral:rRNA from 1 species